rnacentral:rRNA from 1 species
GAUGAACGCUAGCGGCAGGCCUAAUACAUGCAAGUCGAACGGUGUCUUCGGACAUAGUGGCGCACGGGUGCGUAACACGUAUGCAACCUACCUUACAUUGGGGGAAAGCCUUUCGAAAGGGAGAUUAAUACCGCAUAAGACAGUAGCUGGGCAUCCAGCAGCUGUUAAAGACUUAUCGAUGUAAGCUGGGCAUGCGUCCAAUUAGCUAGUUGGUGAGGUAACGGCUCACAAAGGCAAUGAAUGGUAGGGGAACUGAGAGGUCAAUCCCCCACACUGGCACUGAGAUACGGGCCAGACUCCUACGGGAGGCAGCAGUAGGGAAUAUUGGGCAAUGGACGCAAGUCUGACCCAGCCAUGCCGCGUGCAGGAUGAAGGCGUUAUGCGUUGUAAACUGCUUUUAUACAGGAAGAAACGACUCUUGCGAGAGGCAUUGACGGUACUGUAUGAAUAAGCACCGGCUAACUCCGUGCCAGCAGCCGCCGUAAAAC